AGGGGUGUUGGGAAUGUCCAGCACAACCUGUCAACAUUCCAGGUUAUGUUGACGGGUCGUGAUGGGCACUCUCAGCGUCCCA
rfam:Physcomitrella patens subsp. patens PHYPAscaffold_256 genomic scaffold, whole genome shotgun sequence.